rnacentral:rRNA from 1 species
UGCCUGGGGAGUACGGUCGCAAGGCUGAAACUUAAAGGAAUUGGCGGGGGAGCACUGCAACGGGAGGAGCGUGCGGUUUAAUUGGAUUCAACGCCGGAAAACUCACCAGGGCCGACUGUUAUAUGAAGACCAGUGUGAUGAACUUGUCGGAUUUUCAGAGAGGUGGUGCAUGGCCGUCGUCAGUUCGUACUGUAAAGCGUUCUGUUAAGUCAGAUAACGAACGAGACCCUCAUCUUUAUUUGCUACCCCAUUCCCCGGAAUGGGCGCACUAUAGAGAGACCGCUGGUGUGAAACCAGAGGAAGGCGAGGGCAACGACAGGUCAGUAUGCCCCGAAUGUCUUGGGCUACACGCGCGCUACAAAGGACAGGACAAUGGGAUGCUAGGCCGAGAGGCAUUCACGCUAACCCGAAACCUGUUCAUAGUUCGGAUUGAGGGCUGUAACUCGCCCUCAUGAAGCUGGAUUCCGUAGUAAUCGUGUUUCAAUAUAGCACGGUGAAUAUGCCCCUGCUCCUUGCACACACCGCCCGUCAAACCAUCUUAGUUGGGGGUGGGUGAGGCUGCGCUUUAUGGCGUAUUCGAGCCUGCCUUCGACAAGGAGGGUUAAGUCGUAACAAGGUAUCUGUAGGGGAACCUGCAGAUG